UAAAAAGAUCCUCAUUUGUGUUAUGAAGAUGAACAAAAGUCUUACGGGUGUGGAACAAUGUGAGAGUGAGUAAUUAAUGACAGAAUUUAAAUUUUUUGGUGAGGUAACCCUUUAAUAAGGUAGGGAUCCCAUAUCAUUUGUGCAUUGUUUUCUACAAAAAUCAAACUAGAUGAUAAAAUAGGUGAAAAAUCCCAUAGGCGGAAGAAUCUGACUAAGCAACAACCUUGAAAAUAUCCAUAACCCCAUAGCAACUGCAUAGCAAUGAGCUAAAAAACACUCAAACCACCUUUGUAACCGCAAAGCAACACCCUAGCAACCACUGACAACAUCCUGCCACUGUGAAGUGAGUUCUGCACAGUCAAACACCACUCAUGCAUUCUUAAAAUGUAUGUUAUAUAAUUUCUAUAAAUAAUAUUUAUGAAAAUUUACAUUUAUGCGCUUGGCAGACGUGACUUACAUUGCAUUCAAGUUAUACAUUUUAUCGGUUCAUGCAUUCCCUGAGAAUCGAACCCAUAACCCUGGCAUUGUUAGCACAACUGUUUGAGCUACAGGAAUACUAUAAAAAAAAAAAAAAAAAAUCACAUUUUAAACUAUUUGAAUGCUACGGAGCCCCUAAAGGGACAUGGUGAUGGAAAAAAUAUGGGAUGGAAGGAAAAAUUACAUACGAGGGAAUGCAAAGUUUCUCUGGGGAACGCAAAACAAAUGUGAGAGAACGCAAAAGCAGUGCCAUCAUUUUUCCCUCACAUUUCAUAUUUUUUUCCUUUGCCAUGUCAAUUUAGCGGCUCUAUAAAAUGCACAUUAACUAAUGAUCUGAUAAGCAAUAUGCAAUGUAAUAAUGUUUGUUAAUGUUCUUAAUGUAUAAAGUUUUAACCUUUGUUCUCAUUUUUUUCUGACUGUGGGAGUGUUUGAUCAUUAGCAUUUGUAGAGCAGGAAGAUGGGCUGAUUGAGCUGUGCAGCAUUAAAUGAAAGCACGCCGUCAACAAUAACCUGAACCCGCGGCACAGUCAACAUGCCUCUCAGAAGAAUCUGAUUAAAAUGCAAAGCAUUUAAUUACUUAUGACGGGACGUGUUUACCAUCACAUUAUGGCAUAAAAGAAGCCCCCCCACACACACAUAACAGCUGAUUUCAUAAUUCCACAAGUCGUUAACCAACGCAGAAUUGUUAAUUUUUCAACGCACCCCGCUUUGAGGCACAUUUUCAUGUAAUUUUCAACGUAGGCGAAUGAUUUGCUGCUUUGAUAAUUACCAAAUAAUUCACAUUCCGGAUAAUUAGACCAAACAACCCUGUGAGCAAGAGAAUUCAUUAACAAUCUUCACCUCUGAUGCUCCGUUUGAAAGGCAUAUCACACAUUCCAUCUCUCUCAUGGCACUCAUUUGUAAGACGCUUCGGAUAUCAUCUGAUUAGCUUUCUGAACAUUUCCUAGAAUCUGUGGAGGGAGAAAUCUUUGUUUUUCUUUAAUCAGUUCAUUAAGGUUAUUUACAUUUCAUUUCAUGUGGCCCGUUCUGUUGAAUGUGAGUUAAGUAAUGAAUUAAACCAAACUUUGCUGUAGAUUUCCCAUCAAUCUGUAUUCUGAAAUGUGUACACAGUGCCCAAUCUUGCAGAUGUUGGCAAUUAUUAUCAGUAAAUACUUGCCAUGAAGAUUCAAACUGUGACCUAGCGGUGGACAGAAAAAGUUUCUGCUGUGAGAACCUUGAAUGUAUCCCAGAAUCUCUUGUGCUGCAAAAAAGGAUGAAAGGAAACACGUCAUCUAAAUCAACAUCAUUGCAGAUAGUUGCACCAUCAACCAUUGCACACAAUGUACUUUAAAAACAGGCAAAAGUGAGAAAUAUUCUAGUCUGGCCAAGAACAGCCCACUUAAACAGUAAGAGAGCAUUUGCCCAACCUCUCAGAAGUCGCAAAGGUCAACCAAUCAGAUUAGAACUUGGCAGGAAAUGCUAUUAAAUUAUUUUGGAUAUUCCUAAUUAAUGUGCAUUCAAAUGAGUUUACCAAUGAGAUUAUAUAUAAGUAUUCAUCAGUGAAUUAUGAAAUACUUUAUAACAUGCUUUAAAGUUAAAGCACAUGCUGUAAAUACUCAAGUGCAGUAAGAUUUAUUUCCUAAAGUCUAGGUUACGUAUGUAACCCUGGUUCCCUGAGAAGGGGAACAAGAUGCUGCGUCAUGGAGUUGACACUAUGGGGAACGCCAUCAGUGUGACCGGUGUCUGAAGCACAUGUACCAAACAUGCCAAUUCAUUGGCUGACCGCAGUCUUUGACGUCACAAGCGGAGCGCCUGUGAGUAUAAACUUCAUCAACUCUUUUGUCUGAAGGAGAUGUGCAGGCAAGCCCUAGGCAUGGCAACGAGAUGCAGCGUCACAUUCCCCUUCUCAGGUUUACAGUCGUAACCUACACAUUCCCUUUUUGAAGUGUAAAGGCACUUCCCACGCCAUGUAUAACUGGUCCUACUCAACCCGCUCCGAGCGGGAUUCGAACUGGUGUCUCCAGCAUGGGAGACUGGUGCGCUAAGACCGCAGCCUCUAGUGCCAGUUGCUAGCGAGACCUCUUGAAGCCAGGGGAGUGAGGUUUACACGCACAGCUCUUACUGGCCUACGUUACACUCACGCCCCCAAACCUCACUCCCAUCCAGGUCACGGCACGAAAAUGUAACCAGUCCUACUCAAGUCCCACUCUGAGCGGGACUCGAACUGGCAUUUUCGGCAUGGGAGGCGGGCACGCUAACAACCAAGUUAGCUGAAACUGCAGUCUCUAGCAUCAGUCGCUAAGCAUUCCUCUUGAGGUCAAAGGGAGUGAGGUUUACAUGCACAGCUCUUACUGGCCUAUGUUACGCUCACCCCCCAAAACUUUAUUCCCAUUCCAGGUCACAGCACCAAAUGUAACUGUUCCUACUCUACCCACUCCGAGCGGGACUCGAGUUGGCGUCUCCAGCAUGGGAGGCGGGCACACUAACAAGGACCCUAAAGGCCGCAGUCUCUAGCGCCAGUCGCUAACAUGCCUCUUGAAGCCAGGGGAGUGAGGUUUACAUGCACAGCUAUUACUGGCCUAUGUUACACUCCCCCAGUUAUACAUACUGAGGGAAUGCCUGUCUCACUAAACUGUGAAUGUGCACAAACAUAGUGACCAUAGCAUAAAUUGAAUCUACGGAUUACUUAGUCCAAGUGUGUCAACCCCAAGUGUGCAUCCAAAAUGACUCAAAGACUGCUCAGUGGCUUUAUUCCUUAAGCCAGUAUCUCCCAAUUGCAAGAGAAGAUACCCAAGCUUCUAUGCUGUAUAGCAAGGGACAUCACGGCCUAUACAACCUUCCUCCCUCCCUUGCUGGACAGACAUUAGCCUUAUAAGGCCCCAAGAGCAGAGAUCUAAGGUAAAAUGGCCCAACUUUGUCAGCAUCUUGGCAAAGCCCUUAGGGAGUAGCCUACCAAAGGGAGUAUAUCAUCUACGACCUUCAAUAUACCAAUAUUUCCAAGGGGAGAAUGAAACCCUCACCUUUAAAGAAAGGAUGCAGAGACGAGAAUGGCAUAAUAUAACAGCCAAAGACUCUCGCCAUCAACUCAAACCCCUAGGGAAACCGCAAGGGAGCUUUAGUUCUACUUAAAUACUUUAGAGCAGGGGUGUCCAAACUCGGUCCUGGAUAGCCACUGUCCUGCAGAGUUUAGCUCCAACUUGCAUUAACACACCUACCUGGAAGUUUCUAGUAUGCCUAGUAACACGAUUAGCUGGUCCAGGUGUGUUAGGGUUGGAGCUGAUCUCUACAGGGCAGUGGCCCUCCAGGAGCAGGAUUGGACACCCCUGUCCUAAGAGCAAUGAGGGGCGUUCACACCCUGCUUAAGCAAAGGUACUUCUCCAGGAUCCAUUAUAAAAAGACACCAUUCACUCGUACAGUAUACGUUUAUAAUGAGUUUUUAUAAUGGUCAUAAUGAACCUAAAAUGAAGACAAACACAAAAAUUACAUUACAUAUACAAAAUGUUUCUGUUUCAGGCCUCAUCAGUAGCUUUCACAGAAGCCUUUUGUUUUUGCUUUCCUAUUUUUAUUUGAUGUUGCUCAUUCAGUUCAUGCCAUCCAUGAUGAUUAAUGAUCUCAAAGUCAAUCUACUGUAACUGUGCUCCAAACUCCUUUCCCACACAUUUCACCUCCUCAUGGAGUUUCCUUUCAUAAAACAUUAUGAAUGAAAAUCACAUAUUGUGCAAAAAAUGAGGAUAAAUGGCUGUGUACAUAUUGUACAGUGAUAUUUCUAUAGUUUUUUUACUCUUGUAAACAAAUGGUAUUUAUAACAGCAGAUGUCAUGAAUGUCAGCUCUGGACUGCUGCAGGCCUUGUUACCAAAUAUGUGUUUCUGUUGUGCCGCUUUUGGUCAGGUUCUACUUUUGCCCGCAGAAAUAAAGACUUAUUUAUCAAAACCA